rnacentral:tRNA from 1 species
AGUAAAGUCAGCUAAUAAAGCUUUUGGGCCCAUACCCCAGCCAUGUUGGUUUAAAACCUUCCUCUACUA